GAUGAAGAACGCAGCGAAAUGCGAUAAGUAAUGUGAAUUGCAGAAUUCAGUGAAUCAUCGAAUCUUUGAACGCACAUUGCGCCCGCCAGCAUUCUGGCGGGCAUGCCUGUCUGAGCGUCAUUUCAACCCUCAAGCAACUUCUGCUUGGUGUUGGGGAUCGGCCGUCAAACGCCGCCCCCGAAAUCUAUUGGCGAUCUCGCUGUAGCUUCCUAUGCGUAGUAGUAACAUCUCGCAUCUGGAGAGCGGCGCGGUCAUGCCGUAAAACACCCAACUUCUCAGGUUGACCUCAGAUCAGGUAGGAAUACCCGCUGAACUUAAGCAUAUCAAUAAGCGGAGGA
rnacentral:misc_RNA from 1 species